rnacentral:rRNA from 1 species
GAGGCCCUUCGGGGCCUAGCGGCGGACGGGUGAGUAACACGUGGGUAACCUGCCUGUAAGACUGGGAUAACUUCGGGAAACCGAAGCUAAUACCGGAUAAUUUCGAGCAUCGCAUGAUGCUUGAUGGAAAGACGGCUUCGGCUGUCGCUUACAGAUGGACCCGCGUCGCAUUAGCUAGUUGGUGAGGUAACGGCUCACCAAGGCGACGAUGCGUAGCCGACCUGAGAGGGUGAUCGGCCACACUGGGACUGAGACACGGCCCAGACUCCUACGGGAGGCAGCAGUAGGGAAUCUUCGGCAAUGGGCGAAAGCCUGACCGAGCAACGCCGCGUGAGCGAUGAAGGCCUUCGGGUCGUAAAGCUCUGUUGUUAAGGAAGAACAAGUACGAGAGUAACUGCUCGUACCUUGACGGUACUUAACGAGAAAGCCACGGCUAACUACGUGCCAGCAGCCGCGGUAAUACGUAGGUGGCGAGCGUUAUCCGGAAUUAUUGGGCGUAAAGCGCGCGCAGGCGGUUUCUUAAGUCUGAUGUGAAAGCCCACGGCUCAACCGUGGAGGGUCAUUGGAAACUGGGAAACUUGAGUACAGAAGAGGAAAGCGGAAUUCCACGUGUAGCGGUGAAAUGCGUAGAGAUGUGGAGGAACACCAGUGGCGAAGGCGGCUUUCUGGUCUGUAACUGACGCUGAGGCGCG